rnacentral:miRNA from 1 species
UCAUCAGAGAGGCUGGGCUCU